rnacentral:siRNA from 1 species
ACAGAUUCUACAACAUGAUGGUU